UCAUAAGUACUCGUACAUACAUUGUGGGAUUCGUAAACACAUAGCACGCGAAACACACACACAUUGUGGGAUUCGUACACACAUAGCAUGCGAACCACACGCAAUUGUGGGAUUCGUACACACAUAGCACGCGAACCACACACAUUGUGGGAUUCGUAAACACAUAGCACGCGAAACACACACACAUCGUGGGAUUCGUAAACACAUAGCACGCGAAACACAAACACAUUCACCAAAUGUGUGUGUGAAUUGUUUUACGCGCAUUUGCAACGUGCUUCCAAUUACAAAUUCCCACUUACGAAUACAAAUUCCCACUUACGAAUGUGUGGAUCGUUUUGAUACCCGUCAUGCGCAACUGAGAAGAACACAUGCAUUUUUUUAACUGGAGCCCGUCUUCAGCCAAUCAGACGUCUUCUUCUUAAACAGCCAAUCACAAGGGCUGGGCUGUUUCGUUACGUCACUGCUGUGCGCCUUCAAGUCCGGUGUACUGAGUGACAAGUGACAAAUGGGGAGCUUUUGUAAAAGUAGGAGCCCCGUUUUUGACAGCUCAACUCGACCGCGGGGACUAUCGAUGCAAGCUGAAGACGUCCCAUCCAUUUUGAGUGGGAGGACCUCCCAUGCACUUCAAAUGUAUUGGAUGUCAACUGGUGAAAAACUCAUUGAACCGCUCAGCAGAGGGAUGAUGAGAGCAAGAUUAGAUGUCUAAUACUGUACUAUAUGUGGCACAUUUUUAACAGGCUUUUUUUCCGCUAAAUAAAUCUUUUUAAGAUUACUUUCUCCAUUUCAAGCCUAUUUGAAAGUCAUACUUGGGAAAAUUCAGACUUCUUAAUGUAUGAUUGUGAUGUCUAUGCUUAAACCAAUUUAAGACCAUUUUAAAAGGAAAAAAAUAGACAUUAUAAGCCUGUUAAAAAUGCUACCUACAGUGACAGUAUUUAAAGGAUGGUAGUCUAUUACGGAUAUAAAAAAAUAUAUUUUUUGAAAGACUUGGAGCAACAGAGCUUUCUUGCCAAAUGAAUCACAUUUGAUACACUUAGGAUUUAGAACUCUUUCCUCAAAAAAAAAAAAAAAAAAAAAUGGAUGCAAGUCAACUCAUGCAUCUGCAUGUUCCAUGAGAAAAACAGGAUUUAACAAGGAAAAUAGAUAUUAGAGCGCUUAUUACACAUUUUUCUUUACAAAUUUGGAAAAAAAAAGGUUUAAGACCUUAUUUUUCACAUUUUGUGAUUCUCUGACAAUUGCUUCAUAUUGCAGGCAUUAAGGGGUUAAGACCUGCCACAUGAAUUUUACUACCUUUUUAAACACUUUUUUUUAUUGCGACAAACCUAAUAAGUGAUCAAUGAUGGCAAGAGAGGAUAAAGCGCAGCAGCAAAUCCUCAGAUCUGUUCUUUGGAUGCCUUUGAAAGUAAAUAGUGACAUUGAGAGCAAUCAGGAGUUCAAUUAUGUGAGGUGAGGAGACCAAGUAAGUUUUGAGACAUUUUUUUAAUUUAAAUAGACAUCUCAGACUCCCAGCCUGUAGGAGGGCACAGGCUAGAUCUCCUCGAGCCUUCAGAACUUCGGGAAGGUGGGUCUGGUUGUGCCUGAGAUCUCCAUUGGCCAUAUACUCUUCCGCAAACUGAAAUGGCAUUUUAGGCAUUCUGUUACAUAUCAGUGCUAAACAACAACAGCAGCAAAGUUUUACUGCAGAGACUCCGAAAUCUUAAAAUCAUUACCUUUAAUGUGAAAACCCCACAGCUACUGUUGUUCUGCUGCUUGUUAUGGGCCACAGUUUUGGUAGUCCAAGUUUCUAUUUGGAACUCACGGCCCGCCAACCUCAAGAAGUUCCUAAUUAUUGUUUUAUAAGCAAAACAAUGAAGAUGAACAUUGAACUAUUAACUUCCAUAUUAACAUAAUACUAGGAAUUUAAACUUUCUGAAGCGGUUACCUCCAAUUCCGCAAGAUUUUGCUCAUAUUUGUCCUCGUUACUCAAGGGAUCGUUGAUCACCAGUGUUCUCUUAGAAAUGUGGACAAUCUAUAAAAGGUUAGUUCCUUUGUGUAAUUCUGCACAAUGACAGAUUUAUGUAGUUAACUUACUAAUGAAAUUUAACUUCUGUAUGGCAUCAGCUAAAUUAAUAGCUAUAUAUAAUACAUUCCAGAAUCGGUAGGUCUUAAGAAAAUAUAAGAAACCCACUAACCACUAAAAUCCAAUGAGCGCAUACAGGACAGGACAGGACAAAUACACUUUUUUUUUCAACAGGGAAUUUCCUCUGAAGAACAUACAAUACCAAAUUAUUGUUAUUUUGGGUUACUGGCGUUAAAAUAAUAUAGCUAAAUAUUGGCAUGAAAUGGAUUACCUUUCUAACAGGCUGAAAUUUUCCCAAAAGCAGACUCCCAGCUACCACAGCAGAGAGUUGGUGAAUGGGCUCCUGUUAAAAAAAGGGGUAACAACAUUACAACUAUACUCCGGCAAAAAAUAAAUGCAUUGAGAAAAACUAUAUCCAGCACUUGGCUGCUGCCUUUCAAUGAGGAUAUGCAUGUAUGCAUCAAAUACUUGCAUAGCAAAAUAAAAAAAUUGGCAAAAGGCAAGAAUCUUUGUUAUUUGCUAAACACUUAUUGCUCCCACUGACUUCAUCAGACAGCCAGCCGUUGCCUUUUAGCGUAUGAAAAGAUGUGUCAUAUAAUUUAUACGGUCCAACGACAGCCUCCACCUUGCCUUGAUCCUCUGCAGCCCACAGUAAUUUAACUGAAAACACAACAUUGUUAAAUCAAAAAAGUUAUUAUUUACGGCACUUGACCAGAUGACCAUCCGGUCAAAAUUAUCUACUGAAUAGGCCAAACCACCAAACAAAUCCUGUCGGUCGUUCACCAAUUUUGUAAGAGCUGUACGAAGUAGAAGGGUACAAUUAGAUAUACAUUUUAGAACACCAACAACAAC